AUUGAACGCUGGCGGCAUGCCUUACACAUGCAAGUCGAACGGUAACGGGCCUUCGGGUGCCGACGUGUGGCGAACGGGUGAGUAAUGUAUCGGAACGUGCCCAGUAGUGGGGGAUAGCCCGGCGAAAGCCGGAUUAAUACCGCAUACGACCUACGGGUGAAAGGGGGGGAUCGCAAGACCUCUCGCGAUUGGAGCGGCCGAUAUCAGAUUAGGUAGUGGGUGGGGUAAAGGCCUACCAAGCCUGCCAUCUGUAGUUGGUCUGAGCGGACGACCAGCCACACUGGGACUGAGACACGGCCCAGAGUCCUACGGGAGGCAGCGGUGGGUAAUUUUGGACAAUGGACGCAAGUCUGAUCCAGCCAUGCCGCGUGCGGGAAGAAGGCCUUCGGGUUGUAAACCGCUUUUGUCAGGGAAGAAACGCUCUGGGUUAAUACCUCGGGGUAAUGACGGUACCUGAAGAAUAAGCACCGGCUAACUACGUGCCAGCAGCCGCGGUAAAAC
rnacentral:rRNA from 1 species